AUGUGCGUCGGGAACGGUUCCAAGGUCGAUGUGAUCGCCGUCGGCAUGCUACCUCUACAUUUACCUACGGGAUUAGUUAUAAACCUUAAUAAUUGUUAUUUUGUGCCAAGUUUGAGCAUGAACAUUGUAUCUGGAUCUCGUUUGAUACGAGAUGGCUACUCAUUUAAAUCCGAGAAUAAUGGUUGUUCUAUUUAUAUGAGAGAUAUGUUUUAUGGUCAUGCCCCUAUGGUCAAUGGUUUAUUCUUAAUGAAUCUCGAGCGUAAUGUUACACAUAUUCAUAGUGUGAAUACCAAAAGAUGUAAAGUUGAUAACGAUAGUCCCACAUACUUGUGGCACUGCCGCCUUGGUCACAUUGGUGUCAAGCGCAUGAAGAAGCUCCAUGCUGAUGGACUUUUGGAGUCUCUCGAUUAUGAAUCGUUUGACACAUGCGAACCAUGCCUUAUGGGCAAGAUGACCAAGACUCCGUUCUCCGGAACAAUGGAGCGAGCAACCAACUUGUUGGAGAUCAUACUUACCGAUGUGUGCGGUCCAAUGAGCGUUGAGGCUCGCGGAGGAUAUCGUUAUGUUCUCACCCUCACUGAUGACUUGAGUAGAUAUGGGUAUGUCUACUUAAUGAAACACAAGUCUGAGACCUUUGAAAAGUUCAAAGAAUUUCAGAAUGAGGUAGAGAAUCAACGUGACCGAAAGAUAAAAUUCCUACGAUCAGAUCGUGGAGGAGAAUACUUAAGUCACGAAUUUGGUACACACUUAAGGAAAUGUGGAAUCGUUUCACAACUCACGCCGCCUGGAACACCUCAGCGAAACGGUGUGUCCGAACGUCGUAAUCGCACUCUCUUAGAUAUGGUGCGGUCUAUGAUGUCUCUU
rnacentral:rRNA from 1 species